GGGGGUGUCAGUUUUGACACGAGACAUCUUUGACCCGUGCGAGGCAGAGCUCCAACAACUCUUUAAAAGGUUGGAACCCUAAGUGCAAAAUCAACUCUUGCACAGGCGAAGUCAAUAGUUUCUCCAUUUUAUGGAGCAAACGAUUUCGCAUUCGCAUACGUAAGAGCUUAAUACUCUUCGUACCGAACGUUCUCUAUCCUCACUGCCAGGCAUGAGUUAGGGGGCGCAUAAUCUGCCUGACUCCAAUCCGGAAACUGCUCACUUCAGGAUCUAAGAUCGAGCUCGAUCUAUGAAUGUUUUGUCUAGCUUUUAGUUCAUAGAUCUAAACACCAAGCUAAACUACGCCUUGUAGACCCGUUUCAAAUAUCCUCAUGGACGUGGGUUCAAUCCCACCACCUCCACAG
rnacentral:tmRNA from 1 species